UUUGCACGCCACAGGCUUUUCAACAGAAAAAUCUGUUCUUAUCAGUUUAAUAUCUGAUACGUCCCCUAUCUGGGGACCAUAUAUUAAAUGGAUUUUUAGAACAGGGAGAUGGAAGAAGAGCUUGCUCUGUCCACUCCACGCAUCGACCUGGUAUUGCAGUACCUCCAGGACCGGUGCACCCCUC